CUUAUACCCAAAACUUCGCCCUGAUAAUCUGAUUGGGCAAAGUUACACAACGCCACGCCUGUGGGCGGGUCAUGUGCUUGAAUUGUGUAAAAUGGGAAAAUGUAUUGGAAUUUUGACUUUAACAUGGAGAUAUUGUGGGAGAAAAUGUAACAGACUGGGUAUAUCAGGUCACGUAACCGAGGAACUGAGGGAGAAGUGAGAGAGCAGAGAGCACCGCGAGGUUGCAGAGGUUCCACACCUGAGAGGAGGCUGCGGCGACAAGGACAAGCACGUCCUGUUACUCUCACUCUGCAGGUUCAUUGCGCGGAAAGGAAACUUCGACAAACUCUGCGCUGCCGUGACGGAGAUGAACUACAAGAGCCACUCAAUAACAGACGCUGGCCAAAAUACUGUGCCUCUAAUUUUCCCCCUCGCCAGUAAACAAGGUGGCUGCCUCGGCGAAAGCCAAGGCCGCGGGAAAGAGAUGCGAGGGAGGGAGCGGGAGACAGGAGCGCGGUCACUGUUUUGGAGCCAACCAGCCUCCACCACACAUGAGUCGCCUUCAGCCAGCCCGCCUCAGCCCUCCCCGCCCAGCCCCACUCUGCCGGCCGCGCCAAGACUCAAGGCCACCACGGAACGACGCUCAGUCAACACUACGCCGCAACACAACGCAACCCCUCAGCUGUGGUGGCGACGCAAAACAGCGCGGGUGUGACCUAACUCUGAGCGCUGCCUGGCGAGGGUUAAGCUGUUCAUUCUCAUGGUCUGAUGAUUGUGUUGAUGUUGAGUUUAUUGCACUGUGCUGUGUUGUUUAUCCCCUCUGUUGUUGUUGUCGUAAUGUUAAUUUGUACUUGUCAUGUCUUUUAUAUGAGAGUUAGGCUCUGUACGAAAUUAUAAAAGAAUAUGCGAACAACUCAUCCUCCAUUUUCUCUUCGCUAUCU